AUUGAACGCUGGCGGUAUGCUUAACACAUGCAAGUCGAACGGUAACAGAACUAGCUUGCUAGUUGCUGACGAGUGGCGGACGGGUGAGUAACGCGUAGGAAUCUACCCAGUUGCGGGGGAUAGCCCAGGGAAACUUGGAUUAAUACCGCAUACGCCCUACGGGGGAAAGUGGAGGAUCUUCGGACUUCACGCAAUUGGAUGAGCCUGCGUAAGAUUAGCUAGUUGGUGGGGUAAAGGCCUACCAAGGCGACGAUCUUUAGCUGGUCUGAGAGGAUGAUCAGCCACACUGGGACUGAGACACGGCCCAG
rnacentral:rRNA from 1 species